UGGGAAGUCUUGCGCAAUGGGCGGAAGCCUGACGCAGCAACGCCGCGUGGGGGAUGACGGCCUUCGGGUUGUAAACCUCUUUCGCGAUCGACGAAGCUCUCGCUUGUUGUGGGGUGACGGUAGGUCGAGAAGAAGCACCGGCCAACUACGUGCCAGCAGCCGCGGUAAUACGUAGGGUGCGAGCGUUGUCCGGAAUUAUUGGGCGUAAAGAGCUCGUAGGCGGUGUGUCACGUCGGCCGUGAAAACCUGGGGCUCAACUCUGGGCGUGCGGUCGAUACGGGCAUCACUUGAGUUCGGCAGGGAGACUGGAAUUCCUGGUGUAGCGGUGAAAUGCGCAGAUAUCAGGAGGAACACCGGUGGCGAAGGCGGGUCUCUGGGCCGAUACUGACGCUGAGGAGCGAAAGCAUGGGUAGCGAACA
rnacentral:rRNA from 1 species